UUCUGUUGAAGAAAUCUUUUGUCAGUCGUAAAACCACAGACGAAUAAGGGGUGGGCAAGUCUGGUGUCAGCCGCCGCGGUAAUACCAGCACCUCGAGUGGUCAGGAGGUUUAUUGGGCCUAAAGCAUCCGUAGCCGGCUUUGCAAGUCUCCGGUUAAAUCCAACUGCUCAACAGAUGGGCUGCCGGAGAUACUACACAGCUAGGGAGCGGGAGAGGUAGACGGUAUUCUGUGGGUAGGGGUAAAAUCCACUGAUCCAUAGAGGACCACCAGUGGCGAAGGCGGUCUACCAGAACGCGUUCGACGGUGAGGGAUGAAAGCUGGGGGAGCAAACCGGAUUAGAUACCCGCGUAGUCC
rnacentral:rRNA from 1 species